CCCCUCAAACAAACACAUGAACAAACCACCAUUAGUGGAGGAAAUCACAAUCCCUUCAGUCACUGAGCUUGCCAAAUCCAAUGUUCGUUUUUUACCCACUGUUGGCGACAUCUCAACCGUCAGUUUCGAUGCAAAGAAGGCCAUAUUACACCUUCCAACCAUCAGUUUAGAUGUUAAUACAGAGUUCGUCUUGAGAAACUUAGUGGCAUAUGAAGCAUCAAAUGCAUCAGGGCCGCUGGUUUUAACUCGUUACUCUGAGCUGAUGAAUAGGAUUAUUGACACUGAAAAGGAUGUGGAGUUGCUUAGAGAAAAUGGCGUUGUUUUGAACAGAUUGAGGAGUGAUGCAGAGGUUGCCAAAUUGUGGAAUGGGAUUAGCAAAUCAAUUAGAUUGACGAAAGUGCCACACAUUGAUAUAGUGAUUGAAGACGUUAACAAAUAUUACAAUAGCCGAUGGAGGGUAAAGUGUUGGAAAAAUAAGAAGCUUAAUGUGUUUGGUUCUUGGCAAUUUCUUACAUUUAUGGCUACUGUUAUGCUCUUACUCUUGACGGCAUUACAAGCUUUCUGCUCAAUUUAUGAUUGUCGGAAACAUCACCAUGGCUCAAGCUAUGACUAGAACAUUCUCAUUUCACAUGUUCAUGGUCCAAUUAUAAUAGUGUCACAUCACUCUAAGCUUUAUAUGUAUACCCUAGUUUAUUUUCUUUUCAAAUACCAUAUGAACGGUCUUCGAUUCAGUGCUGAUUAAACUUUUAUACUGAUAUUUUAAGCAAGUCAUCAUUGGUAGUUAUUUUAAAAGAAUAUAUAGUUAUUUUUGCGACGGUAAUGACCAUUAUUUUAGUGACUGAAAGAACCUUUGAAAAAGGCUGGCACAACCUUUCGAUUGAGUCAGUUUCUAUGUUGGCUGUGCACCUUUUACUUGCUCCUAAACUUCAACCCCUUGGAUCUUACAUAAUCGUUGGUUGAAUUGUCCUAGUCUUUUGUUCCAGAUGAACUUCAAGGCAACUCACACAUUCCAAGAAAAUAAUGUUGCUGCUUAUUCUUUAGCAAACAUUGGCCUCCAAUAUCCUUCAUUUAAUUGGUGCGAAACUCCUCCGACGGCUCUCUCAUCAUGCCGAUGGGUUUCCAAACUAUCAAUUUUAUUAAGUGUUGUAUUACAUGCUUUUCUUUUAUCUCUGUGUAGGAAAUUUUUUUACAUCUCUAAUCAUAUCUACUCUUUCUCUUAUUACUAAAUUUUUUUCUCGUGAUGCUAAGGUUGCUCAAAAAAGAGAAUAUAUAUAUAUAUAUAUAUAUAUAUAAAACUAAAUUUUACUCAUACACUGUUAUAAAUGCAGCUUGGCACAAAAUUAUAAAAGAAUAAUAACUAGAUCUCAAUUCCACAAGAAUUAACAACUUGAUUAAUCUGAUCGACAUCGUGGUAGUGAAUCCGUCAAGUUGACAUGACAACACAGCUUCACGGGCUCUUGCAUCGACUUACAUUUCAGGCAUGGUAGCUCAAGGAGCUCAUAUUGAACCAAGAAUAAAAAGGUAAUUCAAAGUUUUUAAAAGUAUUUUAAGAAAAGGAGUAAAAAAUAUCUUUAAUAUUAGCUUUGUAAGUUGUAACACAAUAAUAUUCAUGUUGCUGGAGUUGUAAUUGCUUCUUGUCUACUUCAAGUUGAGCCUUAAAGAUUUUCAAAGGAGAUCAUAUGAUAAGCUCAAGAUUCUUUUUUAUUUUAUUUAUUUUAUUUUUUGAGGAAACAACAUUCUUAUGUAAUUCGAGUGGACACUACAACAAAAAUCAGUUUUAGUAGCAUAUUAUGUAGGAGCAUUUUCUUACAAAAUGCUAUAAAACGUCACUUUUUGGUAACACAUUCUAAAAAAAUGCUACACAAUUAAAUAUUUAAGUGAUAACAUUUUACUUUUUAUAGCAUUUUAUAUUCCAUUAGUAGCAUUUUUUUAAAAAAAAUUUCAUGCAUUAUAUUGACUAAUGUAGCUCUUUUAAAAUGCUACGAGAAAAACACACGUUUGCAACACUUGAAAAAUGCUACAAAAACGAAAAAAAAUAAGUAAAUAAAUAUGAGUAAUGAUACAGCCACAAACUCUUGUACAAACUUAUUUUGUACAAACUGAUGUGGCAUGAUAAGAUUGGUUGAAUUAAAUAUCACUUAGCCCACAUGAUUUGUUUUUAUUAAUUUAUGUUUUCAUUCAACCAAUGAAUUAAUGCCACGUCAGUUUGUACAAAAUAAGUUUGUACAAGAGUUUGUAGUUGUAUCAUUACUCAAUAAAUAUACCGCCAAUAUUAGAAAUGAGCGGGCACUCACUUUUCCCAAAAUUUUCUAUUAUAGUGGGACAACCUUAAAGCCUAUAUCCCUUUCUUUUUCUAUCUCUCUCUGGAUUCGUCCCAAAAUCCCCUCAUUAAUCAAUCUCUUUUGUUUCCUUGAUUUUACAGCUUAAAUCUCUCAAGAUCAAAAAGUUCUGACUGGUAAUUCUUAUUGUCUCAAGGCUUGUUACUAUAGGAUCUCCCCUCAAAUCUUUCUCAUUGAUAUUUACAUGUAAGCUUUAUUUUUUUUUUAAUUUGCUUUAGAGAUUUUAGGUUUUCAAUUAUGAAUAUAGGAUUUGUCAUGUUGAUUCCAUUUUUUAUUUGGAGCAAUUUCUUAUAUGUUGGGUUCAUUUAUUUUUCUUACAUUUAGGAGUAAUAUAUUAGAGGCUGAAAUUUCUCAUUUGUGCCUUAGCAAUCCGAAAUUGUGUAUAUCAAUCACAUAAUAGGUUUUAUCUUAUAAAUUUUGGGUAUAUGGACAUCUAUUAGAAUUUAAUCUGCAUUCAUGCUUUUAGUCUUGUUAGAAUCUUUAAGUGAUUCUCUUUAAUCUACUCCAUAAGCCAAGGUCUGGAAGGGGGAAUCUGUCUAUUUUUUUCUCAUACAGUGAUUUGUUUGCAACCUGCAAGGUAAAAGGAUUGAUCCUUAACAGCCAGAAUUUUCUCAAAAAUGCGACAUUUAUGGGUUGCAUGGGCAUCUUAAAGGAGGGAAAACUUCAGUUGAGGUAAAUCUUUAUGAUUUCUCAUUAUUUGUGGACUUUCCUUUACUAAUUCUAGUUUUGUUGCUUUGUUGGUUGUUCUGUUGAUUCUGUUGUUUUGUCACGUCUCUUAUACUUAAGCCCAUGAAUAUCAAUCCCUCCAUUUGGUUAGAGUAAUGGUCGUUGUUGCAUUAUUCCAACCAAUUGAUCCUUAAGUGAGAUCCAUAAGUGAAGACUUAUCUCCGAAUUUAGUCUCAUGCUUGUGCUUUUCUUUUUACUUUGUUUGAAUGAAGAUUUAAAUUAAUCUAAAUUCGUUUGCUCUUGGUAGUAUCUGGGUUUUAUUUGUUAAGCUAUAAAACUUGAAUUUGACUUAUUAAAUUGGUCUUUGGACACAAACAAAUUUAUUAACUAGCCCACAUUAAUUGGUUCUUUAGAUUUUGCCCAUUCAUAGGGACUACACGCUGAGAGUUGUCAAAAGCCUCUCAAAAUUCAUGAUAGCCUCAUGUUUUAUUUAUAUUAUUAGUAGCAUCAAUACAUAAUUCUUUUAGAUUAAACUGAAUGCACUGCUAGUAUUGAUACUCUAAAAAAAAAAAAAAAUUGGCUGCAGAAGGCAAUAUUUAAUUGAUACAAAGGCAGGACUAAGUUAUCAUAAUUGCUCGUUGCAUUUGUGUAGUUUAGAAUAUGAAUGAAAUGUUGUUCUUAAAUUUAUGUCUAACAUAGGUACAAAAUGAGUAGAAGAUUAGUUGGGUAGAUGUAAUGUGACGAAAAAUAAAAUGGCUUCCACAUGAAUUAAAGAAUAUAGUUCUAGAAUUUCUUUAUUAAUGUUCUAGUUGAUUUAUUGCAACACUUGAUUUUCAUUUCCUACUCACUAUUGCUACUUUUAUCCUUUUCUUUUCCACAAUGCUAUAUACUUAUUAUAUCCUUAAUGGCCUAGCAUUUAUGGAUGAUAUUGAAUGGUUUGGAUGAAUGUAAGCGUGAAUUGAAGUUGAGUACACUUUAAUUUUUGUAAUUUACUUAUAUGGGAAAAUUUUGUUAAGAAGGCAUUAUUUUGUUUCUUUUUUAUUAGCAGAAUAAAAUUCUUAUUUGUUUUCAAAUUCAUAAUACAGGUGAUCAAGGAUAUUGUGCAAAAAUGUAUUGAAGAAUGAGGACAAAUUGAAGAUAAUAUAUAGUUCUUUUUUAAAGAUCACUAGAAAGUAUAGAAGUAUGACACUUGCAUACUUAUUUUUUAUAAAUGUUUUAUAGUUGAAUGUUUAUUAUAUGAUUAUGGAUCUUUAAAUAUUUUUAUUUUGUCAAUGAAUGAUAUAUAAUUUCUUUUUUAUCAAUGGAAUGACUAAAAUGAUAUUUUGAGUUAAUGAAUUGGAUGAAAAGCAUUGUAAUGCUAUAAUAGCAUGAUAUAAAUAUUUUUGUAGUAUUUAAAAUGCUUUUGUAGCAUUUUCUAGAAGUUAUGUUAGACAUUUGCAAGGGAACUAUAUAUGAUUUGAUAGCGUUUGCUAAACGCUAUCAUCUUGAAGAAUGCUAAUAUUCACCUAAAGCACAAAAAGCUAAUUGCAUUGCAAUAAUUCAAUGUUAUGUAUCAUAAUUUGUGGCCCUUACAAAAUGCUGUGUAACAUUUUAGUUACAUCAGUUAACUUAGCAUUGUUCAAAAUGCUACCAUUCACUUUUGGUAGCAUUUUCCAGAUGCUAUCAGAUAUUGUUUUUUGUUGUAGUGGGAAUUAUGGAAUCCUCUAAAGAGCUUAGUUGGAAAACAACCAAACUUAUUCGCUAGAGCACAUUUCAUCGAGAUACUACCAAUUUAUCCACACCGUUGAUCUAUAAAAAUUUUAUCAUGUAUAUAUGCAUCUGCAUUUCUGUUUCAUUUAAUAAAAUAUAUGUCGCAUACUGUGUAUAUGUAUUUGAUUGACAUGCAUCUCUUUUAUUUAUUUUGUAUUUAAAGUUUAGUUCUAUUAGGACUGACUUAACACAUGGCGUGAAUGUGAUGUAAGUUGUGACAAUAACUCUCUUCAUAUUGUGUCUUCAAUAAACACACCAAAUUAGACCAAUUCAAGUUUUUCAACUUAUUAAUUGAUGAAUUGCGUUUACACGUUGCAAUCAAUCAUCGUUCAUCAUUGGUUUUUACGAAAAGAGAAAAGGAAAAUCAAACAAGUUGCGUAAUUUAACAAAUAGAUCGGAGUAAUUAUGCUAAAAUAAGAUUUGGAAUCAAAUACUCUUAAAAGACGUGAUCUUAUCUGUCCAUGGUUCCAUGCUUUUCAUUCUUUAAGCACUAAGCUUAAAAAUAGAAUAUUCAGUUGCAAUUAGGGCCGGGAAAAUCGGGUUUGGUGAUUGGUCGGGUUGGACAAACACUCAUCCGAAUUCAACUCGAAUUUACAACCCAAUCCGAUCCGAAUUAUAUUCGAAUUAGAUCGGAUCAGGUUGUAAAUUCAGGUUGAAUUCGGUUCGGAUCAGGUUUGGUUAACAAUUGUAUUUGAACUAAUUGGAUCGGGUUCGGUUAACAAUUGCUUAUCAAUGAUUUAACAUAUGUUACAUAAUAUAUUACACGUUACAACUAUUUGUAUUUGAACUAAACUCAAAACAAAAAUUCGGGUUUGCCGUCUGCUGGAUUUGGAUGGAACUUGGAGGAGAAACUAGGUGAUGUUAUGUGUGGAGGCGUGGUGACUGUAGAUCGGUCGGCGGUAAUAGCAGAUCUGGUCGCGGUCCUCGCAGAGCAACAGAUCGGCUGGCAGUUGGCAUAAGCGGUGACAGUGGCAAGCGUGUGUUGGCUAUCGGCUGUCGGCUCUGUGUGUGUGUUUCUACUUGUGUAACUUGUGUUGAAUGUUGACUUGAGGGCGAGGCAGUGACCCGUGAGGCGUGGGGGAUGUGGUCUACUGGUUUUGUGCCUUUGUCUCUGUGAUGUGUGUCGUAUACGUGUGUGGUGUGUGAGAUUGUGUAGUGUGUGGUGUGUGAGGCUGUGUAGUGUGUAGUGUGUGGUCUAUGGUGUCACUAGUGCGUGCUGGAUACGUGUGUGCUGUAUAUGUGUGUCAGUGUGUGCUUUUCACUUUCUUUUUUAAGCCACCCCGUUCGGGUUGUCGGAUCACCCGAUCCAAUCGCGGUCCGAUUGGGUUGGCAACAUUUUGAUCUGAUCAGAUAUCAUAGUCGAUCCGAUCUGAUCCGAACUCGAUUUUUUUCGGAUUGGAUCAGAUCGAGUCGAGUCGGUUAUUUUGCCCACCCCUAAUUGCAAUAAACUACUCAAUGUGUUGUUUAAUUUAUUUUCUAAAGUACAAAAUACAUAUGGCCCUCAGGUCAUUAUUAAUUCCAAUGUCAUAUGAUAUAAUUUAUUUAUAUUUUUUAACUAUAAUUUGAUGGCAAACCAAUUCCCUUCUUACUCAUAAGAAUUCGUUCCCUAAAUUUUUUGUUUCCAUUCAAACAGAUUUUAGAAACUAAACGAACCGACACCUAAAAAUAUAAUCUAUUUAAGAUUAUGCUAAUUACCUAAGAAUUUUGAUCCACUACUUAUUUGUGUCUAUCUUUUUAUAAUCUUCUAUCAGGUAUACAUUUAAACGACGAAUUACGUUCACGCCAAGGCGACCCCUAAUUUUUUGAAAGUUUUAAAGAAUAAGAUAAAAAUUGAAAAGUUUUCAAGAUGACCGCAACUUAUUUUUUAAGUAUACUAAUUUGUAUUAUAUUUUGACAAUCCCCAAAUUAAAAUCCUAGUUCUGUCACUGCAUUCACUGAUAGCACUGUAAGACUAGAAUAUAAUUAUAUGUUAUAAUUAUCUCUUGUCCAAUAAUUACCAAUCAUAAAUAUUAAAAAAUAAAUAAAAGUCACCACUAAAUUUAAAUCCAAUUAGUUGGACUGACGAGGACAUUUAUCAAAGGAAGCCACUCAACCGUCAUUGACAUAUAUCCAAAUUCUAAAAUAAUAAGAAACUUCCAUAUGCAUUUUAUUAAUUUGAAGUAAACAGGACAAAUUGGAUUUGAUCGGCAAGCAAGCAUCUUAACAACCAGUAAAACAAACUUUAUUUUUGUGAUAUUAAUUCAAGCAACAUCAACCCUAUAAGUUUAUUUUAAAAAAAAAAAAAAGACACACACACACACACACACUGACACACAAAACACCGCUUCAGUUUACACCUUGAAUCAGGAAACCAAUCCGUCAGAGUCUGAGACGAACUUGAUUUUGCGACAAUUAUAGACUGAGCAAAAAGCUUGUAAAGUCAUCAAGAGCAAGAGCAUAAUCGUAGCAAGCAACGUAAGAAAUUGCCAAGAACCAAACACAUAGUGCUUCAUACUUUUCCAAAACUUCACCUUCCAUUGGCUGUUGUAAUGCUUGUUAAUACCUUCAAUCACUUUAUCAAUGUGUGGCACUUUCGUCAAUCUAAUUGAUUUGCUCAUUCCAUUCCAUAAAUUAGUAACCUCUGCAUCACUCUUCAAUCUGUUUAAAAUAAUCCCUUUUUCCCUAAGCAACUUAACAUCCUCUUCAGUAUCAAUAAUCCCACUCAUCAACUCUGUGUAACGAGUAAAGACCAACGGCCCUGAUGCAUUUGAAGCUUCAUAUGCCACUAAGUUUCUCAAGAUGACCUCCGUGUUAACGUCAAAGCUGAUGGUGGGAAGGUGUAAUGUUGCCGUCUUUGUGUCAAAACGGACGGUUGAGAUGUUACCCACAGUUGCUAAGAAACGAACCUGAGAUUUGGCAAGCUCAGUGACUGAGGGGAUUGUGAUUUCUUCCACUAAUGGUGGCUUGUUAAUGUUAUUGCUUGUGUGGGAGCUCUCAUCAUCUGACUUCUUGUCAUCAUUAUCUUGUGGGAAUAACAAAUAUUGAAUCGGCUGGGCUAACAUUGAAAAUCCGGGGAGCUUGGAGAGCAUUGUGAAUGGCAAUUUGAGGAAGAAUUUGACAGGUUUUGAUACAAGAAGCUUUUUGAUAAAAAGGAUAGGGCCUUUGUUGAGUUUUGAAAGCAGCUUCCAAAUCUCACUGAAAAUUUUUUUUACAAAAGUUGAGUCACCGGUGUCUCUUUCUUUCGGUUGCUUGUCAUCCCCUUGAUCUUCAACAACCUCAGUUAUCUCGGACUUUUGUUCAACUUUUGGAACAAUUGUGUCGUACAAAAAAUCUAGCAAAUGUGCACAUUCUAGGACAUCGAUCAUUGGCAUGUCCUUCAUCAGUGUAAAAGGCGAAAGUUCUUCGCAAAAUCCCAUUAGCAUGGCCUGCAACAUAUCAUCAGCUGAUUCCAAGGAUGAAUAUUGUAAUUCAAGCAUUUUUCUCAACACAAACAAGGGAAUUUGAUUCUCGAGCAUCACCAUAUCUCUAAGUAUCGCGUUAUGAGCAGCUUUGGUGCCUGCAUAAUCAAGCAAAUGUGACGUGGAUGUGGAAGGAGACGUUGCACUCGACUUUCCUUCUUUUACAGCAUAGAUCUGAAGAAACUCAAGCAAGAACGAUGCAUCAAUGGCCAUCAUCCAAGCUAGAGUCUCACUGUUGAAAUUUAAGAACUUGUGGUAACAAGCUCGUAUUUUUAGCUCAAGCUUUUUCAGUUGAUCAACAAUAUACUGAAACUUGUGAUCCCCAUCGAUAUGUGUUUGAGCUCUUUUUGCUGCGGCGAGCUUGUACCAUUCCAUCUCGUGCAGCUCCGGACGAAAGUAAUGAUAAGGGCCAAUUGCAACUUCUUGUGGUGUGUACGAAUCGGGAUUGCUAAACAUCAAUGUUUUGGGCACACUGAAUAUGCAGACGGGAAAAUCAGUAUCCGUUUCAAGUUCUUCUUCGAGUUUUCGACGGAUGCUGAUGAUCCAUUGAUGUUCAUCAAAAGUUGGAUUUGGAUUAGGAUUAGAAGACAUGGUUGAUUGAUUGGGGAGAACAAGGGACGAGUGUUUGUUUUCUUUGAGGGAAGGAACUUUGGUUUUGUUGGAAUGAUAAUAAUAGUUAUCUUUCGGUGCUUAGAUUAAUUAGAUACAUUGAGUGGUGGGUGAAGCUAGCGAGCUAGUUAUGGCAAUUAUAUAUUGCUUAAUUUGGCGGCAUGAUAAAUGAGGCACGUUUCACUACUAGAAAAAUAGUCUUUACUAAUACUUAUUUAAAAGUAUUAGUAUGUACAUACAUUUGGACCAUUUUCCACAUUUAACAGAUAGGUAUUACUAAUUACUAAUAAUAAAAAAUUAUUCUUUUAAAUUUUGUUUCAAUCCGAGUUUGAACCCAAGACCUCUUAAACCUAAAGCUUCUACAUGAAUCAAAAGACCACUAGACUACAAAUUAUUUUUAGUUUUUUUAAAACAAUGCUUUUUAACUAGAUAAAAACAAAACAAAUGGACAAGUGUUAUCCAAAAUAUAACAAAAACUUUUCAACUCCCUCUACCAAAAUAUUCGUUCCCUCCUAAGCUCCCCAAAUCUAAAAAAUCCCUAACACCCAAAUUGUCGAAAAGUGCUCAGCUAUGAUCCUGUCAAACCGGCGACAUAGGUCCGCCAUUUGCCUUCAAAAUCCUAACUUCUUUCUUUUCUUAUUUUAUGAUUUCAGAUCUUUAUUAUUUUCAUCAGAUCUUGAGUUUUUUUUUUAAUUGUUCUUUUAGGUUUAAAUAAGUGAUUUGGAGAAGAGUUUCUAUGUUUCUUUGGCUAUUUGGAAGAAACUAGAAGGUAAAGAUUCUGCUUUUAUUGCAUUUUUUUUGCUGCUACUUUCUUUUCUUUUAUUGGCACUAGAUAGCCUUUAUUGUAUCUACUUUGGAAAAUAUUGUGUUUAGGGUGAUUGUCACUAUAAGGUUUACUUUAUUUCACUGAUGAACGAUAUUAAACAUUUUUUACACUAAAACCCUAAAAUUUUCUAAUUUGAGAAUUCUUAAGAGCAGUGUGAUUAUGCUGAAAUUGAUGGUUUAUAUUGGUUCAUAGCGUGUUAUGUUGAUAUAACUUAUUGCUUAUUAACCAUUUGUUCAUGUGUUAUUAGUUUUUUUUUUUUUUCAAAAGCAAUCGUUUCAUUCUUUUCUUUUCGACUAUUAUUUUUGGGUUUUUUUCAUAUUGAAUAUAUUUCAAUUUUUAUUCACUAUAAAUAGUUUCAUUGGAUGAUUACUUAUUACAAAUUAUCAAAUAAAUGUUUUUAUAAAGGAAAAGUUUGAAGGAUGCGGCUUAGGUUGAGAAAUGAGGUGUCUUUAUCAUUUCUUUAAUGGAUUUGUUUACUAGGCAAAACAUAAAUUUAUUUCUUCAGUUCAUUACUAAGGUAAUAUUAGAUUUGUUUUAUUUAUAUUUAUAUUCAUAAUAAGGCAAUAUUUGCUUCAGCUGUUUUAUUUUUCUUAUUUAUAUUUAUAUGAUUCAUGGCUAAAAUCAUAAGACUUGUUUAUAGGACAAAUGGGAAUAAUUUUUUUUUUUGGUUGAAAAUUUUCUAAGAAAUUUGGUGUAGAGAUAACCAUGAAUUUAUAGCAAAUUAAUGUUUGAUGAAUUAUUGUAUCCGAUAGAAUUAUCCUAGUUUAAGAUUUGAAGAUUUUCAAGAAAUUAUUUUGGCUAAUAAGCAUAUGAGUAAUAGCUUGAAAAUUAAUUUAUUGCAUCUGCAUAGUGUAUUAAUUUUAAGAACUAUGAAUUAUUUAAUGAAUGUUUUAGAAAAAAUAAUUAUGUAUAUAUAUGCAUGUCUUAACAUAUAAUGAUUAUAUUUUGAAGUUUGUUAUCUUUUUCUUUUGUUUCCCCCUUUCUAGGUUUAGGAAGAAUGUUGAAAGUGAAAUGAGACUACUUUUGGGUGAUGAUGUCAAUCAAGUUUAAGAAACGUUACUUGUGAUUAGAAAUAUAUAAUGAUUAUAUUAUAAUUCUAUUUUAAUUUCUUUUAUCUUUUUAAAGUGUUAUAUUCAGGGAAAACUAAUAAUGCUUAAUUAAAAUAGAGGGUGAUAGUCUUUAAAUGGUUCAUGUAAUCAUAUUUAAGUAGUAUAAUAAAUCCAUAUUUACUUUACAAAGGCUUAGCUAAGUUUGAAAAUAUUAUUUUUUAAGAAGUAAUAAUUUUGGAAUGAACUCUCAAAUUAUUGAAAUAUUUUGUCCAAACUUUACCAUAUGUUUGAAAUAAUUAAAGUUAAAUGUGUAUGUUUGUUUUGGAAAUUUUGGAAUGAAUUCGGUUUAUAACUGAUUUUUAAUCGAUUUUUCAAAAUGGUUGGUUGCUGUCCAAUCUUUCAUAAAUUACUCAUGUAUCAUGUUUGGUGGGGCAAAACAAUAGUCUAAAAGUGUCUGAAUGAGCUGAAAUUUGGAGAAACUAAAUUUCUAUAUGCAUACUUCAAAUAUGAAAAAUUUAAUGUUGAUUGAACUUGCAGAUUAUGUUUAAUGAUUUUUCAAACUCCGCUGCUCUGCAACAAGUUCUUUUGACAGAACUGUUUAUUAACUUUUGAUCUUACAAAACACCAGCAUAAUAAUAUCAUAAUAACCUCAAAUUUUAAUAUGUUGUUCAUUCAUAUGUAUAGUUAAAAACUUGAAAAUAUCAUUCCAAUGUAUUAAGUAUCUUAAAUUUUAUAAAUAUGUAUUUAAGUACCAAUUGCUACUGUAAUCUUUCAUAGACAAUUUUGAGUUAUACACAAAUUUUAGAUACAUGAUGCUCCCCUGGUUAAAUAAAUAAGUAGGCAGCAAGGUUAUUGGAUUUCUUUAAGGGAAUGAAUGAAGUCAGUCCCUACACUAACUACUUGGCUGAUGCCUUAACAAUUAAUUGCUCAACAUUAUGAUGCAGUUACUGGGAAUUUAGUGACUAAUUUUCAACAAGCAAUUGUACUUUUACUGAGCUGUCGUUGUUACUCUAUGUAGAGUCAUUAACUUAUUAAAAAUAACAUUUACCGAAAGAGAAUAAUCAUUAACUCCCUUUUUUCUUAUUUAUAUCUAUAGUUGAAUAAACUAUAAUCUUUGGUAUUUUUAAGGAAAUAAACUACAAUUUUCUUAUUCACUAAUUUUUCUUUGAAAUAACUGAGUUUACUUAUAAAUAGCGUAUGAAUAUUUUUUCUCUGGAACAAAAUAGAUUUAUUUCUAUUAACCAUUGUUUCUCUAAUGGUUGGGAAUUGGCAGCCACUUUUUUCCCCUUUUUUCCAUGUAUUCAUAUACAGAUUUGAUCAAUGUGUUUGCAGUGUUUCUUCUGCAACUUCAUUUGUAGCCUAACCCAUCUAGUCUAUUGAACGAAGAAGCUCCUGGUGUGAUACCGCAGUUGCACUACCUAUGUUUAAAGAGUGAAAGGCAAUCAUCCUUAUGAACUUAACUUCUAGAUGUGUUAAAUUCACUCACAAUUAGUAUGCAUUUGAUUGGAUUGUAGAAAUUUUUAUGUACUUAAUUUAGAUUAUUCAGUAAUGAAAGUAUGAUAUCUUGUAUCUUGUUUAUUGAUGUAUUUGGAAUUUGUGAUAUAUACUAAUAAUAUUUAAAUAUGAAAUGAAAGAUUUUGUAAUAUAAAUUGAUUUUUUUGGUUAUUUUUUGAUGCCUUUUAAUUUUGUCAAUAAAUCAAUACGCAAUGAUCCAAUUCAAUUUUUUAUUUUUUUAAAUAAAUUAAACAGUGAUAUCAUGGUAAUAGUUAUCAUAGACACUAACAAAAUAUCAACAACUACUAACACUAUGAUGUCAUAAUAUUGGUGAUAUUGUAGUGAUAGUAAUCACUGACACCGUAUUCGCGUCACCAUAAACAAGUGUCACUAUUUUUCUGACUGUCGGAUUACUGACACAAUUAACAAGUGUCACUAAAAGUAAUUACUGACACUAUUCUAAUGUUAAUAAAGACCCUUUUUUUAGUAGUGCUUUCCUCAUGGAUAUGGAUUUUUAUUUUAUAAUUUAUGGGAAAGUGAGUGAAACCCAUGUUUGUCUAAACUAAGCAUUAACCCUCUUGUGUUUCUCUUGAAGACAAACCUUUGCGCUUUGAUUUUUCAAGAGAGAGAGGGGGAAAAAAAUUAAGCAAAGUUUGGGAGUAUUUUGGACUUGAAUAAAAGUGUUUUCAAAUAACCAUUUUUUUUUCUUUUUGUAACUUUAUUGUUAUGCUUGAUUGAAGAUUUUUUUUUUAAUAAAAAAUAUCAUUACAUCUAUAAAAUCUAUCACAAAUUGAUCAAAACGUGCAAACAAAAAUAUGUUGGGAUUUAUAUAUCUUGAUGAAGCAUAUUGUUGAAGCCUAUUUUGAGAAAGAUAACUUAAAAAACUCAAAUGAUGAAAGAGAAAUAUGCUUUCACAAUAUUUAGGGAGUUAGGAAGACAUAAACCCAAAACUUAAAAUAUAAGAUGAGAAAGUAUACAUCCAUAAGGAAUGGCAAUGGUACACGCAAACCUGCAAAUCCGCCUAAACUCGCCUGACAAAACCCGCCUGAUGCGGGUAAUUUUAUGACUUGCGGGCGGGUUUGGUAUUAUAAAUUGAAACUCGCACUAGGUUAUGGGUGGGUUUGGUAUUAGUCAAAUAUCUGACGGAUGCUCGCAUGGAUAUCUGUCAACCUGCAUCUUUUUUUAAUUAUUUUUUAAUUUAAUUUUAAUCGAAAAAUAUUUAAAUCUAAAAAUAUACUUAUUGUAACUUUGAUUGAAUUUCUUCAACUUAAUGCAUAGAUUAUUUUAUAUAUAUUGUGUAAUUUACUUAUUAUAAUUUUGUAUGGACUAUUAUUCUUUAGCUUAAUGCAUGGAUUAUUUCAUUAUUAUAAUUUUUUUCUUCAAAUUAGUAACUACACUGUAUUAUUCUUUAAAAAAUAUUAAUCUUAAUCAUUAUUGUAGGAAUCGUGUUGAAUGGGUGCAAAUGGUGGUGAAUGAAGAUAUUCUCUUGAAGCUUGUGUUGAAUAUGAAAUGAUAAUUAUUAUGUUUAAAUACUAGUUUGUAGCUUUUUUUUUUUUAUAGAUUUGUGUAUUUUAUAUUUAACUUUGAGAAUUCGUGUUGGAUUGAUGUUAAAAUUUUAAUUUUGGCAUUUGCAUUGGUUAAAUUUAGAAUUGAGUAUGUUAUGUGGAAUUUUAGGUUAUUAUUAUAAAUUUAUAUAUUUAACAUUUUUUAUUUUAAAUGUGUAAACCCGCAAAAAAACUGCCGGAUAUCAUUGUGGGUUUGGUAAUUGUCAAAACUCACUGCGGGUGAGUUUUCUUAAAAAAACUAAAACCUGCAGCAGGCUGCAAGUGUGUUUGGUAAUUUAAAUUUUAUGCAGGUAUGGGUUUGGUAAUGGCAAACCCGCUUUGGACGGUGCCCAUUGCCAUCCCUACAUUCGUCACUAGUUCAAAGAAAAGAGUGAUAGACAAUUUAAAAUAUAUUUAAAAAAUUAGAAAAUUUUUAAAGUGAGCUUGGUAAUGUUUUAUCUUUUAAAAUAAUUGUUGUUAACAUGUUGUAGAAAUAAUUAAUUGUGAAGAGAAUUAAUUAAACAUUUAAUAAAAUUUGUUUCUAAAAGUGCUAUUAGUUUUAAAAGCAUCCAUCUAUGUUUGGUAAAUCUUACUAUUUAAUUGCUGUCAGAAUAUAAAUGACUGAAUUGAACAUAAUAUUGAAGAAAAUUUGUUUAAACAUUCAUACAUGUAUAUAAAAAUAUUUUUUAUUGUGUACUUCUAAUAAUUAAUAACUAAAAUAACCACUUUUAUUUUUUAUUUUGUUAUCUCAAUAUAAUUGGUAAUGAUAAUAAUAUUUUUGAGUUAAUGAUUUAUUUCCUAAUAUAAUAAAGAUAAUUAUAUAUAUAUAUAUAUAUAUAUAUAUAAUCAUUUUUAGGUGUAAACUCCCUCAUUUAUUUUAAUGCAGAUAUAUUGUUAAGCCCUGUGACUUAAUAAAAUUAUUUUUUAAUGCACUAUAAAGGCCUGCGACUUAAUAGCAUUAUUUAUUAAAGCGCGCGGCUUAAAAGUAUGUUUGCUUGAAAAAAAAUGGGGGCACCUGCACUAGAGAAGAACUGUAUUAAGUAUAAAAAUAAGUAUAAAAAGCUAUUUAUUCUCUGUUUUUCAAACAUGCUAUAAAAUGAAGUGACUUUGCUAAAAGUAAUUAGUAAAAAAAUUUACCAAAUAUCAAAAUUAACUUUUAGUUUUUUAAAAUUACUUUUGAACCCAAAUAGGUCCUUAAUUACUUAUGAAUGACCUUGACAAAGUAAUAAAUAUGAACAUAUUUUUCAAUAGAGUUAUGGAGUUUAUAUAGGAGGUUGGAGAUAAAUAAUAUAAUUAAUAAAUGGAAUACAUUUAACACGAGUUCUAUUGAUCGUGUUAGGGUUAUAAUUAAGGCGGCAUGCGCAAAGCAGAGACGGUCAAUGGUUUAAAAAAAAAACAUUGUUUGUAGGGAUGGCAAAAAUCCCCACGGGGAUGGGUACCCUCGGGGAUUUUCCCCAUUCGGGGAGGGUACGGGGAUAAUUUUAUACCCAAUUUUUUUUUCGGGGAGGGGACGGGGAAAAUUUUUUACCCAACUUUUUAUUCGGGGAGGGGACGGGGAUGAGGUGGAAUCCCCAUCCCCUACCCAUUUCCCCAUUUUAAUUUUUAAUUUUAUUUUUAUUUUUAAAAUUACUAAUAAAUAAAUAACAAAAUUAUAAAUAUUGUUAAAAAUAAUAAAUAUCAAAAUAGUUGUAUGUUGGGAAAGUGGUCACCCUUUGCCGGGAAUUAGUUGAAGAGUAUUAAUUGAAGUUUUCACCAACUGUUUAUUGCUUUGAUUAUACUGGUAGUAGUUCUUCUACUAGAUCUACAGGGGAUUCUUAUAAGAAAGCAACCAAAUGGAUGACAGGUUUUAAUGAUUAUGUAAACAAUGGAGAUUGUGCAGUUGUUGCAGAUGAAUUAGAUUCAUAUUUGGAUGAGAAAGUUAUAUCUCGGAUGGAAGAUUUUAAUAUUUUGAGUUGGUGGAAGACAAAUGCUAAUAGGUAUCCUACAUUAGCUCGAAUUGCUAGAGAUAUUUUGGCAAUUCCAAUUACAACAGUUGCUUCUGAAUCAGCUUUUAACACUAGUGGUAGAGUUGUGAGCUCAUACCAUAACAAACUUCAUUCAAGCACAUUGGAGGCCUUAAUGUGCUGUCAAAGUUGGUUACGAGCUUACAAUAGCGGUAUGAGUUUAUUUUAAUAUGAUUAAUUUAAAAUCGAAAAUAAAAAAUGUAUUAGACUAUUAAUUAUUCGGGGACCGGGGACCCUCGGGGAUCCCCUGUUAUUAUUCGGGGAGGGGAUGAGGAUUCUCUCAAGCAAUUUUGACGGGGACGGGGAGGGGACGGGGACAUAUGCAAAACAUCGGGGAUGGGUAUGGGGAGAUUGGUCCCCUCCCCUCCCCUCCCCAUUGCCAUCCCUAAUUGUUUGAUUAUUUUAUUUGCACCACGAUUGCAGAAAAUUCGGAUAUUUUAAUAAAAUCCCUAACGUUUGAUAAAACAUCCCAAAUAUUGUAUCAUUUUAAGAAGUUGAAAAGUAAGUCUCUAAUUAUUAUUAAGUAAAUUGUUGAAUUUUAAAUUAUAUUUGAAAUUAUUGGAUUUUAAUUUUUGCAGAUCUUGAUAUCUAAAAUAUUCGCUUGCAAUCCAUGCGGAUAUUACCCGCAUUCGGAUCCGUAUUUUUUUUUUUUUUUGCAAAUCCAUAUGCAAAUGCAGAUAUAAGAAUAUCAAUUAGUCGGAUCCGGAUUUUACCAUCGCUAAUUUUAAUUCAGUCAAAUUCCAUUAUUCAUUACUCCUUUAAGUUCAUUUCAUGGAAAUGAAAUUCGUCAAGUUCAAAAUCAAUGGCAAAUACUCAUUAAAAGUGAAUGGAGGCUUAAUAUUCAAGAACAAGACAUGCUAUUGCAACAGUUGAGCUGUUACAAGUGAAAUAUACGUGUUUCAUAUUUAUAGAGUAGUAUUAGCUAUCCCAGAAGUUCUUGAAAACCGUUGCGACAUGCACCACAGAAAGAUCAUAGAAUAGUGAAUUAAUAAUAAUGUAAAAUUAUACUCCACUUAUGAGCAUCAUAUUAAUUGGGAUAGUUUUGGAAUGAUUAGCAUAAAUGUACAUAAAUUAUUGAUUUAUCGAUAUCUCCUCUUUUAUAAACUUAUGUGGAGCUUUUAAUAAACUAUAGUAGGCAAGAUUGACAUUUUUUUUAAAAUUUUGAAAACUCUCUGUUAGUUUCAAGCCAAUUAAUAAAAGCCUCAUUUUGUUCAAUUUUCUUCAAGGCAAAAAAAAGUCUUUCGUCAUUUCUCCAAUUAAUCCAACAUGUCCUCUAAUCCAAACCCAAGCUUCGAUGAGCGUCAAUGGAUCAUCAACAUCCGCCAUACUCUCAAAGCAGAGCUUGAAAAUGAAACAGAUUUUCCUGCCUGCAUAUUCAAUGUGACCAAAACCUUGAUGUCUACUGAUCCUGCUUCUUAUACUCCACAAGAAGUUGCAAUUGGCCCUUACUAUUUCUGGCGUCCUGAGCUCUAUGGGAUGGAGAGUUAUAAGCUCGCUGCGGCGAAAAGAGCUCAGAAACAACUCCACGGUGACUAUACUUUUGAGCAUAUUGUUGAUCAAUUGAAUGAUCUUGCGCUGUAGAUCCGAGCUUGUUAUCACAAGUAUUUGAAUUUCAGUGAUGAGACUCUAGCUUGGAUGAUGGCCAUUGAUGCAUUGUUCUUACUCGAGUUUCUUCAGAUUUAUGCAAUGAAUGAUGAUGAGUUCUGCGACUGCAACUUAACUUUAAUAUUAGAUUAGACUUUAGCGGCUUAAGAUUUUGGGUCAAACGGUUUCUCUGACAUAAUAUUAAAGCUUAAAUUUGAUGUUCAAGUUCCUUGAGAUGCGUAAAUUCUACUUUUAAACCCAUUUUAAAUUUAUGGGCUUGUUCUCGAGUUUCUAUCUCCCAGAAAUGUCUUUUCCGUUUUAUAUGUCUAUUAGACCCAUGUUUGUAAGUUAAGACAAAUUAACUUACUUUUAUAUUUUGGCCCAUUUAUCUCUUAAUAGCAAUGCAAUGUUUGUAACUCGUGUUUAGGAGAUGGUCUGUUUAAAACAUAUCUUUAAUAUAAUUAUUAAACUCUUACCUAUCAGCUUAAUUUUUUGACAGUUUCUUAAUAAUCAUAGCCACAUUUCUAGUUGAAGCAGCUCCUCUAACAAUUUUUGUCAUAUUUGGUUGAUUAUGCAGACAGAAAAGCUGCUCAUAACGCAAUUCUUAGAGAUUUAGUGAUGCUUGAGAACCAAAUUCCCUUAUUUGUUUUAAGAAAAAUGCUUGAAAUUCAAUAUUCAUCCCUGGAGUCAGGAUAUGACAUGUUGAUGUCAAUGUUAAAAAGGAUUCUGUAAAGAGCGUUCACCUCUCAAGAUGAAGGACAAGCCAUUGAUCAAAAUUUCAGAGUGUGCCCAUUUGCUAGACAUUCUAUAAGACACAUUUGUGCCAAAAGCUGAACAAAAAGCUGAGAUAACUGAGGUUGACGACCAAGGCGAAGCCAUGCAACCCGAGGAAAUACAUUCGGACUACACAAAAAGGUUAAUCAGUCAGCUUUGGAAGCUGCUGCUUUCAAGGGUAAAUAAAGGCCCUAUAAAACUUAUUAAAAAGCUUGUUGUAUCAAAACCUACCAAACUGUUGUCCAAAUUGCCCUGGAAAACCUUUCAAGAUGUAGUGUUCCCACAACAGAAUGUAGAAAAGAAAUCAGAUGAUGAGAGCUCCACCUCAAGCAAACACAUGAACAAGCCACCAUUAGUGGAAGAAAUCACAAUUCCUUCUGUCACUGAGCUUGCCAAAUCCAAUGUUCGUUUUUUACCCACUGUUGGCAACAUCUCAACCGUCCGUUUCGAUGCAAAGAAGGCCAUAUUACACCUUCCAACCAUCAGUUUAGAUGUUAAUACAGUGGUGGUAUUGAGAAACGUAGUAGCUUAUGAGGCAUCGAGCGCAUCAGGGCCAUUGGUUUUGACU
rnacentral:lncRNA from 1 species